rnacentral:ncRNA from 6 species
AAACUUUCAACAACGGAUCUCUUGGUUC